CCGAAUGGUGAAAAGGGGAAAAUUACUGCAUUGUGAUCAUUAAGGAUUCUCCAACCAUGUUCUGGGCAGAAUUAGCACAGAAAGGUUUGGUAGGAUUUCACUGGCCACCAGCAUCAUGACCAUCAGGGCAGUUCAUCAAAACAUUUAAAUCAAAGAGCAAGACGAUGUGAAACAAAUACUGGCAAAACCUCCCACCUUGGUGUUCUUUUAUAAACUGGUCUAACUUGUUAUAAUGGUACAUUUGACCUCAAGCCUUUGAAACUAACAAGCCGGGGUUUACGGCCAGCAGGGAGGACUGCAAAUACAGGCCUUGCCUUAAAAUUCCCGGUUGUGUCUGCCCAGGAGCUGUUGGCACCACAUAGACGGGGCGGGCUGGGUGCCAGAGCGGCCUGCCUGUUCCCGGCUACAGAUUAUGAUGUCUGUGCAGCUGCCUUUCAUUCACAGCUUCCCUGAAUGGUGCCAAAGUUAAUUCCUCCAGGAAUAGCCCCACCAGUCACAAGGAAGGGGGGUAAUGCCCAGGAUGCCCCCUUCAUUCUCACUCCUGGUGCGGGCUUGCUGCCAUCAACAGCCAAAGGGAGAAGUCAGGCAGCAGAAAAGCUUGGGAGGCCCUGGAAACCCCCUAAGCUUCUCCACAACAGUGCCGGUCUUAUCUGUUGCAGCCACGGCGAGAGUCCCACAUCAUCCAUGUUCCUGGGAGGAGAACUGAGCUUGAAGGCAGAGGCUGUAACUGACAAGUUGUGAGUUCUUCAAUGCAUCAUUUCUCCAUUCUGGUCUCAAUUGCAUCACCUGCUUAUUAAAAUGAUUCCCUGAAUGCUUAGAGGACAAUAAGGAUUGUACUGACAAAAUUCAACUGAUUUUGUAUCUGGGAUACAUAAUAUAUUAGUUUUAGGUAAAAAUGCUUUGUUUUGUUUUGUUUUGUUUUAAAAGUAGUAGUGAGGCUGGGUGGGUUAGCUCACACCUAUAAUCCCAACACUUUGGGAGGCUGUGGGCAGAUCACCUGAGGUCAGGAGCCUGGCCAACAUGGUGAAACCCUAUCUCUACUAAAAAUACAAAAAUUAGCUGGGCAUGGUGGUGCACACCUGUAGUCCCAGCUACUUGAGAGGCUGAGGCACAAGAAUCGCUUGAACCUGGGAAGUGGAGGU
rnacentral:lncRNA from 10 species